GGUCAAGCUACAAAGGGCGCAUGGUGAAUGCCUUGGCAUCAGGAGCCGAUGAAGGACGCGAUAAGCUGCGAUAAGCUUCGGGUAGACGCACAUAGUCAGAGAUCCGAAGAUUUCCGAAUGAGGA
rnacentral:ncRNA from 1 species